rnacentral:lncRNA from 1 species
AGGAAAUAAAUGCUCAUUUACAUAUGAAUAUGAUUAGAUGAAUGUAAUUAAUUAACUUUCAUUACAAACACUAUAUGUUACUUAAAAAAUCCAUUAUUCAAAAGGGCUAGGAGACAUCACAUUAAAUUGAAAGAUACGAAAUACAUUCAUCUAUAUAACAAAAAAGAAAAAGAAAUAAAUACAUACAUACAUGAAGAAAAUGACAUAUAGUAUCAAGCCACUAACACAAUAUUUAUAAUUUCAUAAAAACAACGAAUUUUUAAAGAGUGGUAACUUUCUUUGUUUAUGAUCAUGAAGAGGUCUAGUUGUUGAGUUGAGAUUUUCCUCAUUUAUGCCCUUGUCCAUCAGGGCUAGGACCAUAGUUGUCAACUUCUAGUUUCCUAUUGAUAUUAUAAUGUUUAUAAUGAUUUUCCAUAACCGAGUUCCUCACAACCAUGUGUGGUGACUUUAGAAAUAUACUCUUUAGUUCCAAAGUGUUAAGUGGCCUUGACAUCCCAUGUUGGAUGCAGAGGCAGGACAAAGAAAGGAAAAUAAGAAAGAAGUUAAAGUAUUGAUGUUUUCCAACCAUGAUUAGUAGUAGUAGUUUCAAGAAAAUUGUAAUAUAAUAGUAAGAAGGUAAAUAUGAU